rnacentral:rRNA from 1 species
GGGCCUGCGUUUCAUUAGCUAGUUGGUAGGGUAAUGGCCUACCAAGGCAACGAUGAGUAGCUGGUCUGAGAGGAUGAUCAGCCACACUGGAACUGAAACACGGUCCAGACUCCUACGGGAGGCAGCAGUGGGGAAUAUUGCGCAAUGGGCGAAAGCCUGACGCAGCAACGCCGUGUGAGGGAUGAAGGCUUUCGGGUCGUAAACCUCUGUCGGAAGGGAAGAACGGGCAUUGGUCUAAUAGGCCUUUGUUUUGACGGUACCUUUAGAGGAAGCACCGGCUAACUCCGUGCCAGCAGCCGCGGUAAUACGGAGGGUGCAAGCGUUAUUCGGAAUUACUGGGCGUAAAGCGCACGUAGGCCGCUUUGUAAGUCAGGGGUGAAAUCCCACGGCUCAACCGUGGAACUGCCUUUGAAACUGCAGAGCUUGAAUCCUGGAGAGGGUGGCGGAAUUCCUGGUGUAGGAGUGAAAUCCGUAGAUAUCAGGAGGAACACCGGUGGCGAAGGCGGCCACCUGGACAGGCAUUGACGCUGAGGUGCGAAAGUGUGGGGAGCAAACAGGAUUAGAUACCCUGGUAGUCCACACCGUAAACGAUGAACACUAGAUGCCGGGG